rnacentral:rRNA from 1 species
GACGAACGCUGGCGGCGUGCUUAACACAUGCAAGUCGAACGGAAAGGCCCUGCUUUUGUGGGGUUCUCGAGUGGCGAACGGGUGAGUAACACGUGAGUAACCUGCCCUUGACUUUGGGAUAACUUCAGGAAACUGGGGCUAAUACCGGAUAGGAGCUCCUGCUGCAUGGAGGGGGUUGGAAAGUUUCGGCGGUUGGGGAUGGACUCGCGGCUUAUCAGCUUGUUGGUGGGGGAGUGGCUUACCAAGGCUUUGACGGGUAGCCGGCCUGAGAGGGUGACCGGCCACAUUGGGACUGAGAGAGGGCCCAGACUCCAACGGGAGGCAGCAGUGGGGAAUAUUGCACAGUGGGCGGAAGCCUGAUACAGCAACGCCGCGUGCGGGAUGACGGCCUUCGGGUUGUAAACCGCUUUCGCCUGUGACGAAGCGUGAGUGACGGUAAUGGGUAAAGAAGCACCGGCUAACUACGUG